CCUAGGGUGAGCAGCAGUGGGGAAUAUUGGACAAUGGGCGAAAGCCUGAUCCAGCCAUGCCGCGUGUGUGAAGAAGGCCUUCGGGUUGUAAAGCACUUUCAGUGGGGAAGAAAGCCUUGGGGCUAAUACCCUCGAGGAAGGACAUCACCCACAGAAGAAGCACCGGCUAACUCCGUGCCAGCAGCCGCGGUAAUACGGAGGGUGCGAGCGUUAAUCGGAAUUACUGGGCGUAAAGCGCGCGUAGGCGGUCUGAUAAGCCGGUUGUGAAAGCCCCGGGCUCAACCUGGGAACGGCAUCCGGAACUGUCAGGCUAGAGUGCAGGAGAGGAAGGUAGAAUUCCCGGUGUAGCGGUGAAAUGCGUAGAGAUCGGGAGGAAUACCAGUGGCGAAGGCGGCCUUCUGGACUGACACUGACGCUGAGGUGCGAAAGCGUGGGUAGCAAACAGGAUUAGAUACCCCGGUAGUC
rnacentral:rRNA from 1 species